GGUAGCUCAGUGGUAGAGUGCUUGCCUUGCAUGCAUGAGGACCUGGGUUUGAUUCCUCAGAACCA
rnacentral:tRNA from 1 species